CACUCUUUAAUUGGAUGUAUCUGUUGUUGGUUCAGUGCCAGGAGGAUCAUGCAGGUAGGCAUCAGGGAGAACAUGGCAGUAACAUUAUCCUGCCUCUGUGUACCCGCCAGCUCUGUUUACUGAGUCUGUGAGCAGCAGUCUGGGGACUACAAAAAACCCCUGCGACUGAGAAAUUGCUGUGUCAUUGUGUUCUGGUGGCAUCAGUGCACUGAGAGCUGCUGAGCAGAAACCAGAAGCUGAACAUCCAGUUCAACCCCAAAGCGAGGAACUAUGUUGUGACUGAUCUUCUCGGGAGUGCGCCAUGUUUUCAACUGGAUAGCCUCCCGUUGUUGCUGCGUUAAGAAGGAUGGGACAGUUUCAGACUGCAGGUGUAAAGGCCUUCCGGUGUGGACGGUCAGCUGUGAUGGGAAAUCCUCCCAUCAGACUCUUCCAUAACGGCCCCGCUGUAUCUGCUGCUGUUAGAUCCAUCCAUGUUUGCAUCUGCUUUACCUAAACUCUGGGGUUGUGCUGUACUUGUUACAAUGACGACUUGUCUGAAAACUCCUUUUGUAGGUAGCUGGACAGUGUCUGACAUCUGAUAAGUAUACAACACUCUCCACGGUAAUGUAAUCUUCCUAAAUAAGGUAAAAAAAUAAAAUAAAUAAUAACAAUGUAACCCCAAUAUGCGCAGUACAUCAAUUAAAACUGUUGCUGAUCCUUGUAUUGUCUCGUUUAUGAAGCUUUUGUAGCAGUUCCUUUGAUCGUCGGGGGGUUCUGGUCAUGUGACUGACUUUUCCUGGGUGUUUGUCGCCAUCGUGUGGACACAACGAGUAACUACAGCUGGUGUGCAGAAAAGCGGAGGCAAAGCACAGCAAAAAUGAUGUAGAACCAGAGAAUCCAGACAAAAAAUUGCUUAGAUAACUAACAAAUACAUUAUAGAGUUAUACUAAUUCACAUUAUGAUUUGUGCAUAUUUUCCAGAGCAGUGUGCUCCCACAAAAAAAAAAA